GAGAAGCCGGGCACACCCGGAGGGGGUAGCAUUGGAUAUAGAACCAUCUCAAAUCACUUUUGUGCAUGCCAUGUGGACACACACAACUUUUGGGGCCAUUCCCUAGGUGCGAUGCUCGAUUUCUGACGAAACCCUAGUUCUGUUGACCGCGCCGUCUACCCCUUUGACUGCGUCCCAUCGGGGUUCCCCCGGUGGGCGUAUGCCUGCGUUUGAGCUUGGUUAGGUCAUAGGUACAUGUGGAAACAAGUACCAUCCCCUAUGAUCCCAAGGUUCUCUCCGGUUCACCUCCGAGGGAGUUCCCCCCUAUACACGCAGAAUCUGCCUAAGUGUAGGAACCCCAUGUCCGAGAAGCCGGGCACACCCGGAGGGGGUAGCAUUGGAUAUAGAACCAUCUCAAAUCACUUUUGUGCAUGCCAUGUGGACACACACAACUUUUGGGGCCAUUCCCUAGGUCCGAUGCUCGAUUUCUGACGAAACCCUAGUUCUGUUGACCGCGCCGUCUACCCCUUUGACUGCGUCCCAUCGGGGUUCCCCCGGUGGGCGUAUGCCUGCGUUUGAGCUUGGUUAGGUCAUAGGUACAUGUGGAAACAAGUACCAUCCCCUAUGAUCCCAAGGUUCUCUCCGGUUCACCUCCGAGGGAGUUCCCCCCUAUACAUGCAGAAUCUCUCCUGCCCUUUUUUU